ACCUCUCCAUACCAUACAGCUGGAAAGGGUUGCUGUCAGGGGUCCAGGAACUCCUCUGCCUAGAAAGGAAAGCUAGCAGUGACCAACUGGGAGGGGGACAAGAGCAUGUGGCUGGAUUGGAAGUGGCUACGAAGGUCACAUCUUGCCUGGUGUCCUCACCUCCUGACACAGGGGUCUGAGUAUCACCUGUGAUCCCUGCCAGCAUCCACGAGGCAGGCAAGAGAAAGAGUGCUUUGUGAAGGCCCUGCAGCAGAAGACAGACACAGAAGUGGAACUUCACGAAGAAGCUUGAUCCCAGGGCCACUGGAGUCUGAGGACCAGUGGAUGGAGAGCCAUGAUAAUCCAGUGUCUGCUGGGAGAACAUCAUCCCAAAAUUGCAACAUCACUAAUCAUAUGAAGAAUAUGAAUAAACUAGACGAUAUGAAAUUUUAUAUCAGGAAGAUAAAUGCUGAGCUGGAAGAACUUUUUCGAAUCUUGGACAUUGACAUGAAUACUGAUUUGAACUACAGGAUGAACACUGAAUUCACCAUCAUUAAAUCACAACAUGAGAAGACAAUGUUGGAUAUGGAAAAAAUGAAGCAGUCAAUAAGUGAUUCCAUUGACAAGUACAAGGAAUUCAUAGAAGAUAAUGAUUCCUACAGCAUCAGGCACACCCACCUCCUGAAAGAAUGCAAUCAAUUGAAGGAAAAAGUAAGGAUGUUGCUGAAUGAGAACAGAAAGCUGCUGGUAGAGCAGGCUGACCAGGAGGCAUCCUUUGGUGAAGAAAAGAGUUCUGUGAUGAGACCAGCAAGAACAUACAUCCCAAGUGCAAAGCAGCAGCAGUUGUGAAAUACUCCAGCAGAAACUGGAACAUGGAAGAGACCAGGACAAGGUCUCCUUUGAAGAGAACUUCUAUAGUGGGAUCCCUGCGUGUGCGAAGCAAAUAUUUCAUCUCAUCCCCAGUAAUCAUGGCUAUCAUCUGCUGCAUUUUCUUCCUUUACUUUUGUUUCCUUGCAAUGAAUAGCACUUAUUUUCAUCUGUGCUCUGGCUCAGCAAGAGUGAGACAUGUGCUGAGGCACAUUAAGAGCUACUGGGGAAACAGGAAGAUUCUGAGGGUGUACAUUUUUCUUGUCCUUAUAGGUCAUCAAGGAAAAUUACAAAAUCAUUCUACAAAAUUGCAAAGACUUUGAGCCAAAUUCUGUAACAUGUUUUCUGCUUAGUCUUGGGUGUCCAUAUUUUUCAAACCCAUACUCCCAAAAAGGAGACCUACUUAAAUUUCUCUUGUAAAGAUUGUUACCAGAAGUAACUUAUUUUCUACUGUGUUGCCAAGGACAGCCAUGGGCUGUAAGUCUGUGCUGCUAAAUGACAGCCAAAGAAGGCUCUUUAGCACAAUUCUUGUUUUUAGAUUUUGGUUUGAGCUUUGAUUACUUUUGUUAUUUGGUUUCCUUUUGUUUCAUUAGAAGUUUUUUGUUUGUUUCUUUGCUGUUGUUUUGUUUUGUAAUUGAUUUAAUGUUUUGAUAAGGCUAUACAGUAUACUUAUUGACUGCCCACUUUUAGUUACUAUUGAGUAAAUUGGAUGUAUUCUAAGAAUAAAACAGUGAUCUCUAA